rnacentral:rRNA from 1 species
CGUGUAGGUGGUUGGGUCAGUCUGCCGUGAAAGCUCUCGGCUUAACCGGGAGAGGUCGGUGGAAACUGCUCGACUAGAGGACGGUAGAGGGGGGUGGAAUUCCCGGUGUAGUGGUGAAAUGCGUAGAUAUCGGGAGGAACACCAGUGGCGAAGGCGGCCCCCUGGGCCGCUCCUGACGCUGAGACGCGAAGGCCAGGGUAGCGAACG